GUUUCCCCCCUUUUGCUGCAUACGUUAUCAGGAAUUUGAUCUGCUUCGAGUUUGGUUGAGGAUCCGUGGCGAGGUACAAGAGAGGACUUACUGGUAGAGAUUUAAGAACUAGGUCAUCGUUCUAUUCACUUUGUUUGAUUUUCUGAACGGUCUGUUUUGCUUUUGAUAGCUUAUGCCAUUGGUCGAGUACAAAUAUAUUUCUUGCACUAGAUGUUAAUGACUUGCAGAUCUAUUGUUUGUUGAUUUUUGACAUUGAAAGCAGAGAUUCUUAUAGUGCUUUGUCUUCAAAAACCAAUUUUUGUCUUAUCUUACCUAACUCCAGUUUGUGGUAAAUUUUGCUGGGCGAGGAAACAGAUUCAUGGACAAUUUAGUGUGGUCAUACAUUCUACUAAAUUAUUUGAGCUAUUAGAGUGGCCUUUGACCUAAAAAUCUUGUGAUGCCAUGCUGAUUAUUAUGAGACCUAGAACAAUGCAUUACUUCAGUUGUAAUGCUAUUUGUCUUCAGUUAUACUGUACUUGCGUAGUAAAAAUAGUAAUUAUUUUGAAUAAUAACUUGUGAAGUAAUAGUGGAGGAAACGAGAUGGCAAAAGAGCAGCUUGAACAGGAAUUUCAUAAUCGGUACAAGGAAAAAAGUAGACAAAGCCGGAAAAUACAAGGCAGAACUACAAAUGUGGGUGUAGGAUGAAGCUGAAGUAUCUAGUCUCAUAUCCAACUGGGGAAUGAGGAGCAUUUGCCCAGUGGAUGAUAUUUCUAUCACCAUCUGGAGAUAUAUCCAAAAUUUUUGAACUAAGGAGAAGAAAUGGUUUAUUGAAAAGGUGGUUGAUUCCUAAAUGAGUUUGCCAUGGCUGCCUUUAAUUGAUGGUAUCACUAUGGUCAAAAUCCCGCUUUUCCUCUUAGAAAAAGAAAAGUGAAAAAUUAAGCACAGUUUGUGGAAAAUGGAAAUACCAAUGCCUUGUUUGAAACAGUAGGGUUGCAAUCAGUUACAGUAAGCUUACAGAGAAAGAAAACUACAGAGACAGUCAUCAUGGACUUUCUUCAAAGGUCCGAGGCAAGAAAAUGAGGAGAACAGACGAUGUUUAUGACAUGCUUUGGUUUGCCUCAUCUUAGAUGGUCUAUUAUUUCACAAAAGAGGAAGAAUUGAAGGUAGAUCCGCUACCUUAGCGGCCCCCCUAGUGCCGGCCCCACGGAUAUGGAGGGAGGUUCAUGCAGGUACACAGGCCAUAGGCGCAUGGCGGGGUAAACCCCAGGUCGUCAGUUCCUGAAAGAGGAAGAAUUGAAGGUAUCUACACAGUGUGGAGUGAUGUUGAAAUGGAUUUAUCAGGUAUGACGUAAUCAGUUUUUAUAUUGUGCUGGGCGAACACAAGACCAAGCCAGAUUUAUUAUGACACAACUCAUUUUUCUAGAUAGUAUGGUUGGCCUGAUUCCCGUUUUAUUAGAGCAAAAGGUGAUAUUGUUAAUCUCAAGAGGAUCAAUAUCAUCGGUCUCGCGGCAAGAUACAGACAGCUAAAUUAUGGGAGACAUUUUAUGCUAAUGCGGUCAUUUGUAUGGGGAGGUCAAGAUAUCCAACGAGAAACAUUGCUCACAUUGAAAAAACACCUCACGGUAUACAGGAACAAACUUUCUUUGCCAGACCAGUGGAUCAUAAGAUGGCUUUGGAUCCAAUUUGUUCAGAUUAUGUCUCUUAAGUGGCCUUUGCCUGGUCAUUUGCACGAUGCAAAAGCCUAAAAUCUCUUUUAAGCAGUGCAAUAAACCAAGCAAAUCUUCCACUAAUACGAAAAGAACACCAUGUAGCAGUGUUGUGUUGGGAUCUCAUACCACAUCACCAUUAAUUUAUAUUCUCAA